rnacentral:rRNA from 1 species
CCUACGGGUGGCAGCAGUGGGGAAUAUUGCACAAUGGGGGAAACCCUGAUGCAGCGACGCCGCGUGAGUGAAGAAGUCCUUCGUUAUGUAAAGCUUUAUCAGCAGGGAAGAAAAUGACGGUACCUGAGUCAGAAGCCCCGGCUAACUACGUGCCAGCAGCCGCGGUACUACGUCGGGGGCAAGCGUUAUCCGGAUUUACUGGGUGUAAAGGGAGCGUAGACGGCAGUGCAAGUCUGGAGUGAAAGGCGGGGGCUCAACCCCCGGACUGCUCUGGAAACUGGACGGCUGGAGUGCAGGCGAGGUAAGUGGAAUUCGUAGUGUAGCGGUGAAAUGCGUAGAUAUUAGGAGGAACACCAGUGGCGAAGGCAGCUUACUGGACUGUAACUGACGUUGAGGCUCGAAAGCGUGGGGAGCAAACGGGAUUAGAUACCCCUGUAGUC